AAAGAGCUUUUUUUUUUUUUUUUUUUUUUUUUUUUUUUUUUUUUUUCUCCCUCCUCCUCAGCCCCCUACCCCCGGAGGCACUCAUUCGAAUUGUGCGUGCGGCUAGGGCUCUUUGGCAGCUGGGUUGGACCUAGUGUUGUGAUGAGGAAAUUGAGUGUUCACAUUACUAUGUCUUUUCUACAAAUUACACCAAAAUGAACAUUUGUUAUGCUCAUGGAUUUGUGGAUCAGGGAUUCAAACGGGGAUGACUUAUCUCCACUUCACAAUGUCUGAGGCCUCAGGUGGAGCACUUGAAGGCUGCGUCUGUCAUCACCUGAAGACUCAUCUGCUCACACGUCCAGCCAUUGAUGCUGGUGGAUGGGCUUCAUUCUAACCUAUCGAUUUUUAUCGUCAAUGAAAUGUAAGUGCCAUCCGACACCGUAUUCCACCAGAGCUGAUCAGGUUUGGCCAGAUCUCUGAGGAGAGAUUCUACCUAUUCCCUGUAUACAAUGAACUGAGGAAGACUACUGACGUACGAUUUACAAAGGAGAUAGCUUGAAACUGGUAUUGGAAACUUCGUCCCUCACCCAUCAAAAGAAAUAAAGCACCUUUCCCCCAGAAAAGUAGAAGUAAAUCGCUGCAGUCCGUUUUCAAUUUCCUGGAGGAUUUAGAAAUACUUGACACCAGAUACUUAAAUCUCAAAAUACUGCACAUCGAGCUCAGCACUGCCUGUAGGAAGGAGACUCUGAGGCAGCUGUCUAAAGCUUCAGUUACACAAAGUCAAAGGCGGUGGCGAAACAGGUGCUCCUACUCCUGACAGAUUAUCUGAACGUCAGUAGUCAUCGACAUCUACGUCACCACCCCUACAUCAUUCCCCUCACUUCAUCUGAUCACACAGGCAUUUUAUCGUGUCACAUCAUCACAAGAAGGGAAAACUAACAUUCGAAAACAAACCUGACAACAUGGCAAAAGUGAAGCAGAAGAAGCACACCUGCGAGCUCACCUGAGGCAGGGCAGACCUCCAUAGGUUACUGGACAAGCCCAGGAGCCCCGGAUGCAGCUGUACCGCCCCCAGGCGGCGACGACUGGACCUCGCCUGGCGGCCGGCGCGGCGCUCCCUACGAAAGCGCCUGCGCAAAGCCAGUAAGUGGCGGCAGCUGAGGGGCAAGCGCCCCGUGGUGAGGAGGCAGCUGAGGGACGUGUUCCCCCUGCUUAGUUUGGUCGACAACCUGGUGGGCGUCUAUAAGGGACCUUCAGCCUUAUGGGAAUCAUGUCUGAGAUUAUCGGCCACAACCAGGGUGAGUUCUCCAUCAACCCUGGAAGCAAGACGCAUCCGUGCACCCAUUCCCGCUUCAUCCUCCUCAAGUAGCAUGAAAGGUACAGACUUUUUUUUUUAAUGUUUUUUUACAAAUAUUUUGUUUAAUGAAGCUGAUACCGUGUCACAUCCCACGCCAAAAAGUGAAAACAAAAUAUAAAAAGUGCAGUGCUCUGUUGUAUACACUUCUGCGUGAAUAACUUUAUUAACUGCUAAUGACACUUAGGACGUUUUUGGGAUCUUCUUAUGGGAUUUUUUAAAAAUCUUAAAAUGCUUUCUCUUCAGUGAAGCCGCCUUUGGAUUUAGUCGUUACUGUCAGUGUGUGUGUUAUCUCGACUCCAAGUUGAUAUUCCGCCUCUUCUUUUGGUCCAGACCCUCAGAUUUUUUAAAUUUGAGAAUUAGACAACUCAAGGAUUUUCUCUGUCACGUUACUAGUGUAUUUUGGGGAGAAACUUAAUUGUAUAAAAUUGAUGUCUAUUAGGAGGAAAAUGAAAAUUAAGGCAACGAUGAGAGGCUGUGUUUCCAAAGAGCAGGCAAACCAAUUGAGUUGGGCCUCAACAUUCUGCAGGUUGUUUUCUCUUUUACCUCCUAUGAACUAGGGGAUGUUUGCUUAUUCUCGGUAGGAGAGGAGACACAAUUGGUAUAGAGAAGCUCCUACAAGGCAAAAAAGUCAGCAUUGCUUUAAAUGAUUUUUCAGAUCUGAAGAGACAAAAAAUAGAGUUUGGUUCUGCCACAUCACCUGGAUUUGAAGAACAUGAAUAUCCCAGAAAGAAGGGUGGCACAGAGAAGUGAAUCAGAUAUUCCAGUUUUUUCCUCGAGAUGUAACUUUCUAAGCUUCUCAGGACAGGUGGCUAGAAUUCAGACUCCGUCUCCUUCAGCUCCUAUCUUUGUAUCCCAUAGUCUAGCAAGACUGCUAUACUUGCUUAGGUCCUCCUCUCUGCUCGGAGUUUGGUAAAUGUCCGCCUAUAAAAAGUGGGAGAUUUUAGUGUUUUCUUCUUUUUUUUCUUAAGGAUCACAGCCAUGCAUUGUGUGUUUUCUCAGUAUCUGUAAAGAGUUGUUCCGUGCUUUUCCAGUGUUCUUGCUUUUAUGGAAAGAAGGCUAGUAUCAAGGCAGGUUCUGUCAUGGUUGAAAGUGGAAUUAAGGUUUUUUUAAGUUUUCAUAUUUAAAAAAAAUUGUUCUUGCAUGAUAGUAAUAGUUCAUCUUUGACAUGAUUCUCGUUAUUUUUUUAGAUUUUAUUUAGAAAUUAUAAACUUGUAUUAUGUAUAGUUUUUGAAAUUUGAGCUCCCAAAGAAACUUGAGAUGACUUAUAAAUCAACGUAAUAUGGAUAGAUGAAUUCAGGUUAAUUUAAGAAUCAAAGGCAGCUUAUCAAUGAAUAUCAACCAAUUUUUGAAAGAAACAUUUCAAAAAGAUCUUUUUUUCUAGCAUCUGGAUCAGUUGUCAUUUUUUUUUUGCUAUGUUUUAGUUUAAAUAUUUAUUUUUAGUGAUUUAAUUUUUUGCUAUAUUUUAAUACAAGUAUGUAGAUAUACAUUUUAAUGUGCUUAACUCAAAACACAAAGCACAUGGGUUACCUUGUCUUUGUACCACACCUUCAACACCUUGCAGCAAGGUACCCAAAGAAUAGGAAUAAUGUUUGUCUGGGAUGGGAAUCAAGAUUUAGAAUUAUUGAAACUAUAUAUUUAAAGUUCUUCAUCUUUUUAAACAAAAGUGGAGGGAUUUUCCAGUUGUAAGAGAAUGUAAUGGAAAUAGGGGAAACAAGAAGUGGCAGAUAUAUCAACCUCAGAGCUUUUCCACACUUGUUAUCUUGUUUGCUCCACACCAGUUAUUAGUAGAGGACAUGUUGUGAUGAAUAAAAGGCUUGAGAGAGACACUAGAGAUUGUGUCAAGUUAUGUCAAAUACAUCGUUCUGCAACGGGACUCAAAAGUACAUCUGAUGGGGCACCUGGGUGGCUCAGUCGGUUAAAUGUCCAACUUCGGCUCAGGUCGUGAUCUCAUGGUCCGUGAGUUCGAGCCCCGUGUCGGGCUCUGUGC